rnacentral:rRNA from 1 species
GCUGAUGCAGCGACGCCGCGUGAGGGAUGACGGCCUUCGGGUUGUAAACCUCUUUCAGUAGGGAAGAAGCGAGAGUGACGGUACCUGCAGAAGAAGCGCCGGCUAACUACGUGCCAGCAGCCGCGGUAAUACGUAGGGCGCAAGCGUUGUCCGGAAUUAUUGGGCGUAAAGAGCUCGUAGGCGGUUUGUCGCGUCUGCUGUGAAAGCCCGGGGCUCAACCCCGGGUCUGCAGUGGGUACGGGCAGACUAGAGUGCAGUAGGGGAGACUGGAAUUCCUGGUGUAGCGGUGAAAUGCGCAGAUAUCAGGAGGAACACCGAUGGCGAAGGCAGGUCUCUGGGCUGUUACUGACGCUGAGGAGCGAAAGCAUGGGGAGCGAACAGGAUUAGAUACCCUGGUAGUCCAUGCCGUAAACGUUGGGCACUAGGUGUGGGGGACAUUCCACGUUUUCCGCGCCGUAGCUAACGCAUUAAGUGCCCCGCCUGGGGAGUACGGCCGCAAGGCUAAAACUCAAAGGAAUUUGACGGA